rnacentral:rRNA from 1 species
UACGAAGGGGGCUAGCGUUGCUCGGAAUCACUGGGCGUAAAGCGCACGUAGGCGGCUUACUAAGUCAGGGGUGAAAUCCUGGAGCUCAACUCCAGAACUGCCUUUGAUACUGGUGAGCUUGAGUCCGGAAGAGGUGAGUGGAACUGCGAGUGUAGAGGUGAAAUUCGUAGAUAUUCGCAAGAACACCAGUGGCGAAGGCGGACUCACUGGUCCGGUACUGACGCUGAGGUGCGAAAGCGUGGGGAGCAA